GACGUCGAUAUUUGACGUCAUAAACACCAUCAAGUUUGGUGUUUAUGACGUCGAUAUUCCACGUCAUAAACACCAUCAAGUUUGGUGUUGAUGACGUCGAUAUUCCACGUCAUAAACACCAUCAAAUUUGGUGUUGAUGACGUCGAUAUUCGACGUCAAAAACACCAUGAAGUUUGGUGUUUAUGACGUCGAUAUUCGACGUCAUAAACACGAUCAAGUUUGGUGUUUAUGACGUCGAUAUUCCACGUCAUAAACACCAUCAAGUUUGGUGUUUAUGACGUCGAUAUUCGAAGUC
rnacentral:miRNA from 1 species